AAGGGAGACCUAAUUCCGGUAGGAGACGAAAAAAAAGUAGUCCCUACCAAGAAUCAAUCCCAAAAGGCCGAAGCGAGGCAAGAUUGGCUUUCAAACUAGGUUCUGGGUUCAAACAAGACCUGAAUCAGGAACAAGGGCUAUUAGCUCAGGUGGUUAGAGCGCACCCCUGAUAAGGGUGAGGUCCCUGGUUCGAGUCCAGGAUGGCCCACCUGCACAGGUGGCAAAAACAAAGAAGCGAGGAAUCAGCACCUUAUCUUACUCAUAUAGUAAGAGAGAAUGCUGGCUCUGAGUAAAGAGUCCAGAGGAACCUUGAAAACUGCAUAGAGCUAGGUGAAAAAGCCAAAAAAGAAGACCGCAA
rnacentral:tRNA from 1 species